rfam:Enterocytozoon bieneusi H348 ctg01_2293, whole genome shotgun sequence.
GCCUCCUUAGCUCAGUCGGUAGAGCAUUGACUUUUAAUCCAUUGGUCGUGGUUUCGAGUCCCAUAGGGGGUG